GCCCGGAUGGCGGAACUGGCAUACGCGCACGACUCAAAAUCGUGUCCCGCAAGGGUUGUGGGUUCAACUCCCACUCUGGGCA
rnacentral:tRNA from 1 species